AGCUUUGCGCAGUGGCAGUAUCGUAGCCAAUGAGGUUAAUCCGAGGCGCGAUUAUUGCUAAUUGAAAACUUUUUUCCACUUGCAUGAACAAAAUCAAUUAUUGAACUGCCACAUUUUCUCCUUCACAGGC
rnacentral:snRNA from 1 species